rnacentral:rRNA from 1 species
AUGUUUGAGGGACACCCCCGCGUCAAGCAAGCCAAUCUCCAAACUCUUCUAAGGAACUACGAGACUUUGGUCAUGGGCGACGAUGAGUCCGUGGAUGCGUUUGCUUCACGGGUGGCUACUCUCGUCAAUCGGAUCCGCGCGCUUGGAGAAAACCUCACGGAGGCCUCGGUUGUCCGGCGGUUCUUGCGUGCGGCCCCUCCCCGGUACCUGCAAAUUGUCACGGCGAUCGAGCAGUGCGUCGAUCUCGCGACUCUCUCCAUCGACGAUCUUGCCGGACGGUACAAGGCUCACGACGAGCGGAUGCGGUACAGUCUUGGGGACGGGAGGAACGACGAGCUUGUGAUGCUCACAAGGGCGCAGUGGAUCGCUUUGUCAAAGGAAAAGCAAGGCGGAUCCACGAGCAGCAGCAAGAAGAAGGGGAAGCAGCGUUCGGUGAGAAAGAACUUCGCCAACUCGGACGCGGACUCGGACGACGACUCGGAGGAUGAGGCUGCACCACCACCGAGGAGAAAGUUUGACAUCAGAAAAGUGAGGUGUUAUAACUGUGGCCUCCUCGGCCACUUCAAGGCUGACUGCGAGAAAGCACCGAAGCAGAAGGCGCUCAUAGCCCAGCAAGGAGAUGAUAGUGACAUGAUGUUGAUGUGUGAACUCGUGGACAAGCAUGAUCCAGUUCUUCGAGAGCCGGCUAAAGAAAUUGUUGUGCUCGUGAAAGAAAAAGUUCACCUUCAUAAUCAUGGUUCAAAAACUCGUGUCGAUGCUACUGAUGCGGGAGGUGACUCCGAAACUUACGUCGAUGCUACAGACGUAAGUGCUAACUUUGCUGGAUCGGAUACAGCAAUUGCCGCGUGUGCUCGGCCAUGGAGAAGCAGUCUUCGUACGAUGCGUCCAGAAAAAAUAAAGGCGUACGUGGCGCCGCAAGUCCACGAAGAAACAAAAGCUGAUGUUAUUACUUGUGCAAAGACAGAGACACGUGUUGCAAGAGAAAACGCAGACAUGGGUGUCGUGACUGUUGGGGCUGGUGCAUCAAGUACAAGUGCAGCUAUGGUACAAACACAUGGAGUUGGUGGCCAAGGCGUGGCACUCCAUGGCUCAGCGAACGGACAACCAGGGAAGUCCAAAGGCAGCAGUUGCUGCAACCUAGCAAGCAGGGCAAGAUGCAGCCCAGGAACGGGCCGUGACAGCAGCCCAGCAGGAGGGCAUGAGCCAGCACGUGGAGCUGAGCGAGCGGCUUCAUGCAUGGCACCGACGUAUUCAAAGUCAGACGAUACAAAGGAACAGUGUUUGUUUGUUUCGCCAAAAGCAAUAUGCAAACCAAAAGGUGAUGCGUCGCUCCUGAAGGUACAAGGAGCUGCGCAAGCAACGUCGCCUCCGAAGGCAAUGGAGGAAAAGGCAUCAUCACCUACACCUAUACUGCUACAACCGGUGUUACACCUAUAUCCGGAGAAGACUCUUUGGACGAUUGACCCGGUAAAAGUGAAAGGGAGUGGGCGACGGUGUCGAGCAAGCGGCGAGGAACCGGCGGAAUUUAAGGACGCAAAUACGAAGGAGUGUUGGCGUCAGGCUAUGGAAGAAGAGUUGAGAUCGAUCCACAACAAUAAUGCAUGGGAGCUUGUGGAUCUUCCCAACAAUGAAAAAAUUAUGGAUCUCAAGUGGGAAUUUAUGAUCAAGAAAGAUGUCGAUGGGUCUGUGAAGCACAAAGCGAGGCUAGUAGCCAAAGAGUACGUGCAAGAGGAAGGUGUGGACUUCGAAGAAGUGUUCGUUCCUAUUGAAAGGAUGGAAUUGGUGAGACUACUCAUCGCUCUCGCGGUUCAGGAAUCAUGGAAGAUACAUCACAUGGAUGUAAACUCCGCGGUUUUGAAUGGCGAGAUAGAAGGAGAUGCGUAUGUGAAUCAACCAUCAGAUUUCAUCAAAGAGGGAGAAGAGCACAAGGUAUUGAAGUCACACAAAAUCUUGUAUGGGCUAUGGCAAGGACCUCGGGAGUGGAACAUCAAACUUGAUCGGACAUUGAUUUCUCUUGGAUUUGAGAAAGCCCCACUAGAGCAUGCAAUGUACAAGCGAGGUGAAGGAAGGGAUCGUCUACUAGUUGGCAUCUACGUUGACGACCUAUUAAUUACUGGAGCAGAUGAAGUGGUGAUUGCAAAGUUCAAGUUACAAAUGAAAGAGCUUUUCAAGAUGAAUAAUCUAGGUUUUUUGAGCUACUAA